GUAGGUGAACCUGCGGAAGGAUCAUUACAGAGUUCAUGCCCUUACGGGUAGAUCUCCCACCCUUUGAGUACUAUACUUUUGUUGCUUUGGCAGGCCGCUUCGGCUACCGGCUUCGGCUGGUGAGUGCCCGCCGGAGAACCCCAAACCCAACCCAUUUAUAGUGUCGUCUGAGUAAAAUUUUAAUAUUUAAAACUUUCAACAACGGAUCUCUUGGCUCUG
rnacentral:misc_RNA from 1 species